ACUUCACCUAUACGUGUUCGAUACGGGAAAGUGGGAAACGGAACAAAGCCCAUACCCAAUCGACACAGCAGCCGUAACAGACCUACCUCUCCAUCUCGCACUGUCUCUCCCAGGCACCACCGCCGUACUCAUCCACGGGAGACGUGGAAGGAGGAGCCCGCUGCCCAUCGCUCGCAGUCUACCGCCGCCACCGGUGCCCCUCCGGCAUCUGUGAGACACGGGACAUUGGAGGAGAUACGUAUGAGCUACUUGUUGGUGGUACGGAUUUUUCCAGCAAGCUGAGUUCUCGCUGAUGAACCAGAACUGGAGGCUUUGUUGCAUUGCAUGAUAUGGGUGUGCUGGACAUUGAGGAGGAUAAUGAAGCAAUGGAGGAGUAACUUAUUUGCACUACAGUAAUCUGUGAACCUUAAUUAGCUACUGUUAUUAUUCAUUUAUUUAAUAUAUAUAUAUAUACAAGCGUAUCCCCGUAUCUAUGUUUCUUAAAAAUUGACAUAUCGUGGUAUCCCUGUAUCGUGUCGCAGAUACAUAUCAACGUAUCCUUAUUUCCUGCUA